GAUGAACGCUGGCGGCGUGCCUAACACAUGCAAGUCGAACGGAGAUGCGAUGUGAGCGAGAGGUGCUUGCACUGAUUAAUCUUUUCGUAUCUUAGUGGCGGACGGGUGAGUAACGCGUGGGUAACCUGCCUUAUACCGGGGGAUAACGCAUCGAAAGAUGUGCUAAUACCGCGUAAGACCACAGCUUCACAUGGAGCGGGGGUCAAAGGAGCAAUCCGGAUAAAGAUGGGCUCGCGUCCGAUUAGCUAGUUGGUGAGAUAACAGCCCACCAAGGCGACGAUCGGUAGCUGGUCUGAGAGGACGACCAGCCACACUGGGACUGAGACACGGCCCAGACUCCUACGGGAGGCAGCAGUGGGGAAUUUUGGACAAUGGGGGCAACCCUGAUCCAGCCAUGCCGCGUGCAGGAUGAAGGCCUUCGGUUGUAAACUGCUUUGUCUAGGGACGAAAAGGACCGUGUUAAUACCAUGGUCUG
rnacentral:rRNA from 1 species